UACGGCCACCUCAUGUUGAAACAACUGAUCCCGUACGAUCACCGAAGUUAAGAAACGUCGAGCCUGGCCAGUACUUAGACGGGUGACCACUUGGGAAUGCCAGAUUCUG